UUAAGAUCAGAAUAUACACCCCAAUUCUCAGCUCAAACCCUCACCAUCUUCAUCAUAUCAAUUCCUUAUGAAAACCAAAAUUUCAAUUCAUCAUAACUUAUUCGUUUUAGCUCGGUUUUGGUUGAUUCUUGCGGCAACGGAAAGAGGAAAACCAUACCUACUGAUUGAGCCCAAUAAAUCAAGACAAACCGAGAGGAGACGGGAUCGACGGUUUUGGUCUAGGAGUACUCGGCCAAAACUAAUGCGUGUAAAUGAUUUGGAUUGGAAAGCAAGGAGUACUUAGACUUGGAGUGACUAGAAGUCUAUCGUUUUGCCGGGAGUCUGUCUUGCCAUGUACAGUCCGACUUCCGUGACCGCUGCAGUAGUACAUUGUGUGACCAGUCAUGACCUAGGACAAUAUUAUAGUUUUGGAAAAUGUUUAUAACGAUGUUAGAUUUACGUAGCCAGUGUUUACAAAAUAACUAUUAAUGUUUUCAUAAUUAAAUGCUUCCGUGUUAUAACAUAAUUGCGAAAAAUUUAUAGUGAAUUUCAGGCUUGCUACGGGAUUCGGAACUACAA